GUGCUCACUUUGGCAGCACAUACACUAAAAUUGGAACGAUGCAGAGAAGAUUAGCAUGGCGUUAAAAUGCCUUUUGAAAAGGAAGAUUAGAACUAAUAU
ensembl:snRNA U6 U6 spliceosomal RNA